ACAACUGUAAAGAUAUUAUUAACUGAAAGAACUCAAUUAAUUAAUGAAUACCUGAAGUCCAGAAGUUGUCAGGAAAAGAGCAAGAGACAAAGAAUUGGGAACAAAUCAGAUCAUCAGUUAUGUGCUGCCUAAAGAAGCAGAGAUGCUAUGGUGCUCUAAAUUUGUGGAUCUUUAUGUUCCAUGUUGUCACAGUUAAGCAGAAGGCACACACGGGUUCCUGAGUCUGCAUCAAGAGAGCAAUUGCAGCACAAAUCCAGGGGAGAAUGGGUCUGGAAUUCAGAUCUUCAGAAGAAAAAAUGCUCUCCAUCUCCAUAGCAAAUCAUUAAUGCCUGCUUUGCCAGGAGGGGCUGGCACCUGCAAGCAGCACGGAGAGCUCCUCUCCCAGCCCCCAGGGCCAGCA